rnacentral:rRNA from 1 species
UAAAAUUUAACGGCCGCGGUAUUUUGACCGUGCAAAGGUAGCAUAAUAAUUUGCUCUUUAAUUGAGGGCUAGUAUGAAAGGCAAGACGAAAGCUUAACUGUCUCCCUACUAAAAAAAGAAAUUAAUAUUUUAGUGAAGAAGCUAAAAUAAAACUGUAAGACGAGAAGACCCUGUCGAGCUUAAGAAAAUUUUUAUUUAAUAAAAGAAAAAGCUAAUUUUUUUUAUUUUUACUUUUUAAUUAAAACAAUAAAAAUAUCUUUGGUUGGGGCAACCACGAAGAAAAAAAAACCUUCGAUUUUUACAAAAAAUAAACAAAUUUAAAAGCUAAUUUUUAAAGCUAAUAAAGAUCCGGAUAAUAUACUUAACCGAUCAAAGAAAAAAGUUACCGCAGGGAUAACAGCGUUAUUCUCUUUAAGAGCUCGUAUUGACAAGAGAGUUUGCGACCUCGAUGUUGGACCGGGGCAUCCAAAAGAUGUAGAAGUCUCUAAAGGUAGGUCUGUUCGACCUUUAAAGCCCUACGUGA